rnacentral:misc_RNA from 1 species
GGCGCGUACACUUUUCAACUUGAGAAUGUAAUCUAACUGAUGAGAUCAAGCAGAUUUAUAAAUGGCAUUGAUUAUUGAAGACUUCGAGCAUUUCCUGUGAGUUGUAGGAUUGAAAGAGAGAGGGAAAAGAGAGGAAGCUGAUGGACCGCAAUCCUCGGUAGAGAAGGAACUGUAAGGAAGAGAGAGCGCUUUGUCUUCAUAAUUUUA